rnacentral:lncRNA from 1 species
CUCAUAUCAUAAUAUGGUCUUUGUUUCAGCAUCAACUGCAAACUGGAAUAUACCAUCAGGAGUACCCUUAUUUCCUGUAAAUGGCAAUGUUAUAGUAACACCAUCGAAUGAUCUGCUCAUAGCAAACUGAAUCUAGUGUAACUGAAGCCAGGCAAUGUUCUGAAUGGAAGAAAAAACAUUUUGUGAAACUAUGAAAUAUUGAGCCAAGGACAUCCUUAUGAUUAAGGAA